AUGGCCUUAGUGCAGAAGUAUGGCAAGCCGGAUGUCUUCCUCACAAUGACAUGUAACCCAAACUGGGACGAGAUUAAGCAACAACUCUAUCCUAGCCAGAGACCUCAGGACCCAGAUCUCGUUGUUCAUGUUUUUAGGGCAAAGUUGGUGGAACUCAAGAAUAAGUUGCUUCAAAAGGACAUCUUGGGCAAGUUGAGGGCUUAUGUGUAUGUGGUGGAGUUCCAAAACAGGGGUCUGCCCGAUGCCCACUUGCUUCUCAUCAUGGAGGGGCGGUACAAGCUCACAUGCUCUGAGCAGUAUGACCGUCUUAUCUCAGCCGAGCUCCCAAACAAGAAGAAGUACCCAGAACUAUACAAAAUGGUCGUGAAGCAUAUGAUGCAUGGACCAUGUGGUGCUUUGAAUCGUGAAUGUUCAUGCACAAAGGGUCGUCCUACUUGCAAGAAUCACUAUCAUCGGUCUUUCAAAGCAGCUACCUUGCGAGUCAAGGACUCCUACUCUCUAUACACACGACGUGAAGAUGGUCGCAAAGCAAUGAUUCGAAAGGAAUGGCUAGAUAAUAGGUGGGUCAUCCCAUACAACCCGCACCUACUGCGUUACUUCAAUUGUCACAUCAAUGUUGAGCCAUGUGGAAGCAUAAAGGUAGUUAAAUACCUAUUCAAGUACAUAUACAAGGGUCAUGAUAGGCAUCUAUUUCUAUGA
rnacentral:rRNA from 1 species